UUCAACUUAAAACAAGUUUUACUGUGGAUGAAAUGCUAUUAAACAGCAGCGCUAUAAGAUAAAUCUUUUGUGAAAGCAAGAGUCAACUGAUGCAUUAGGAAACCAAAAACUAGCAGGACCUGUACUCUGGAAGCAUCUGACUGGAAUGAAGAAUGAGGAGAGAAAGCAAAGAUCAGUUGUUGACAGAUUUACUGAACCAUAAAGAAAGGAAAAGAAGAAAACUGGCUCAUUGUUACAAAUCAC
rnacentral:lncRNA from 1 species